GACGAACGCUGGCGGCGUGCUUAACACAUGCAAGUCGAACGGAAAGGCCCUGCUUUUGUGGGGUGCUCGAGUGGCGAACGGGUGAGUAACACGUGAGUAACCUGCCCUUGACUGUGGGAUAACUUCAGGAAACUGGGGCUAAUACCGGAUAGGAGCUCCUGCUGCAUGGUGGGGGUUGGAAAGGUUCGGCGGUUGGGGAUGGACUCGCGGCUUAUCAGCUUGUUGGUGGGGUAGUGGCUUACCAAGGCUUUGACGGGUAGCCGGCCUGAGAGGGUGACCGGCCACAUUGGGACUGAGAUACGGCCCAGACUCCUACGGUAGGCAGCAGUGGGGAAUAUUGCACAAUGGGCGGAAGCCUGAUGCGGCAACGCCGCGUGCGGGAUGACGUCCUUCGGGUUGUAAACCGCUUUCGCCUGUGACGAAGCGUGAGUGACGGUAAUGGGUAAAGAAGCACCGGCUAACUACGUG
rnacentral:rRNA from 1 species